rnacentral:rRNA from 1 species
AGAGUUUGAUCCUGGCUCAGGAUGAACGCUAGCGACAGGCUUAACACAUGCAAGUCGAGGGGCAGCGGAGGCGAGUGCUUGCACUUGCCAGACGGCGACCGGCGCACGGGUGAGUAACACGUAUGCAACCUGCCCCUGUCAGGGGGACAACCCGCCGAAAGGCGGGCUAAACCCGCGUACAUGCCACCGGGGCAUCCCGGAGGCAGGAAAGGCUUCGGCCGGACAGGGAUGGGCAUGCGGCGCAUUAGGCAGUAGGCGGGGUAACGGCCCACCUAACCGACGAUGCGUAGGGGUUCUGAGAGGAAGGUCCCCCACACUGGUACUGAGACACGGACCAGACUCCUACGGGAGGCAGCAGUGAGGAAUAUUGGUCAAUGGCCGAGAGGCUGAACCAGCCAAGUCGCGUGAGGGAUGACGGCCCUACGGGUUGUAAACCUCUUUUGCCGGGGAGCAAAGAGCGGGACGCGUCCCGCCUCGAGAGUACCCGGAGAAAAAGCAUCGGCUAACUCCGUGCCAGCAGCCGCGGUAAUACGGAGGAUGCGAGCGUUAUCCGGAUUUAUUGGGUUUAAAGGGUGCGCAGGCGGAAGCGCAAGUCAGCGGUAAAAUUGAGAGGCUCAACCUCUUCCCGCCGUUGAAACUGCGUUUCUUGAGUGGGCGAGAAGUACGCGGAAUGCGUGGUGUAGCGGUGAAAUGCAUAGAUAUCACGCAGAACUCCGAUUGCGAAGGCAGCGUACCGGCGCCCAACUGACGCUCAUGCACGAAAGCGUGGGUAUCGAACAGGAUUAGAUACCCUGGUAGUCCACGCAGUAAACGAUGAAUACUCCCUGUCCGGGGAGAUUGUCUCUGGGCGGCCAACCAAAAGCGUUAGUAUUCCACCUGGGGGAGUUACGCCGGCAACGGUGAAACUCAAAGGAAUUGACGGGGGCCCGCACAAGCGGAGGAACAUGUGGUUUAAUUCGAUGAUACGCGAGGAACCUUACCCGGGCUCAAACGACGGAUGAAUACUUUUGAAAGGAGGUAGUCCUUCGGGACAUCCGUCGAGGUGCUGCAUGGUUGUCGUCAGCUCGUGCCGUGAGGUGUCGGCUUAAGUGCCAUAACGAGCGCAACCCCCAUCGCCAGUUGCCAACAGGUAAAGCUGGGAACUCUGGCGAGACUGCCGGCGCAAGCUGUGAGGAAGGCGGGGAUGACGUCAAAUCAGCACGGCCCUUACGUCCGGGGCGACACACGUGUUACAAUGGCAGGUACAGAGAGAUGCGACACGGCGACGUGGAGCGGAACUGUCAAAACCUGUCUCAGUUCGGAUCGGAGUCUGCAACCCGACUCCGUGAAGCUGGAUUCGCUAGUAAUCGCGCAUCAGCCAUGGCGCGGUGAAUACGUUCCCGGGUCUUGCACACACCGCCCGUCA